rnacentral:rRNA from 1 species
UACGGGGGGAGCAAGCGUUGUUCGGAUUUACUGGGCGUAAAGGGCGCGUAGGCGGCCACCGCAAGUCGACUGUGAAAUCUCCGGGCUUACCCGGAAAGGUCAGCCGAUACUGCGGGGCUAGAGUGCAGAAGGGGCAACUGGGAAUUCUCGGUGUAGCGGUGAAAUGCGUAGAUAUCGAGAGGAACACCUGCGGCGAAGGCGGGUUGCUGGGCUGACACUGACGCUGAGGCGCGAAAGCCAGGGGAGCAAACGGG